UAUGAGAGUACCACAGGGGCCGUGGGUUUGUUUUAGGUACAACUUACACUAGUUCGAUUCUAGUCUUUCAUAA
rnacentral:tRNA from 1 species